rnacentral:rRNA from 1 species
GCGAUGGAGUGCAAUCCCGAAGAAGAAGAACAUUGCAAAGAAAGACCCUAGCCAAGCGCCACCCAAUUCUCUUUCACCGACCUAUCUAAUGGCCAUCAAUUCAAUUGGUCCAAGCUGCUGCGUUGACCUUCCCAUUGAUCCACUACAUCCUCGCUCAGUUGCUUCUGCUAUGUUUCUUCUCCAUGCCAUUGCCGGCUGCUGGCGUGCCUGACAUCGCACCUUAUGUGACCUGAUAUGAUGCUCCUCUACAUGUUCUUCUCACCCCGGUUUUCAUGAGGAAAGAUAUUGUUCUGCGGUUCUGUAGCUCUACUCCAUAGCAAUGAUGGAGUCGCCUCCAGAUGGAUAGCAAUUAUCUCGGGAUCAUGAGCUGUCUACGCAACGACCAGGGGGCAUAUUCUUCUCCUACCACUAACACCUUCAUCCUAUUUGAGCCAAAAUGGCUUUGGUGCCCUCUCUCUCUCUCAUGGUGAGGCUGUGCACGCUUGCCAUGGUUGUGGCUACGAAAUCUCACACUGAGUCGCUUCGGUCGGGCACUAUUCAGACUAAAGUGAGAGUUUCUAGCAUAUUCCUCUUUUACGGUGACGCCAGAUUCGAAUUUGAAGGCGUACUUAUCCCUGAGCUGGUGGUGCCUGAGAACAACAACGACAACAUUCUGGUGCAUCAGGGGCACACAUCGUCUCCAAGCUCUGUCGCAAGCAACGCAGGCACGCCUCAGGCUCAAAGUCCGGUUGCCGUGCAGGCGAGCGGCAGCAGCCACUUACGUCUCUUCCAAGAAGGGCGCCGCCUUGGAGGAGCAUAACGAGAGAAGCAAGUCGACACCGACUACAGCGGCGCAUGAGCCAACAAAGGGGCAGGAUCAUUGGAGACGACGGACACAGAGGCGCGUGCUAGGCAUGCCAAUCAUCAAACACUAGGGAGCGAUCCCACCCCCGAUGCCACAGUACAUGCAGUCGUCGCUGCCGCCUCUACAUGCCAUGAUCUACAGGCAAGUGCCUGCUCAGCAACGUACAAGAGAGGUCAGCGUGGGGCCUACUCGCCAAGAUGAUGCUUCUCUUCUCGUGCUUAUUUACUUGCCUCCUAUGUGUGACGAGAAGGAGCAGGAGAUUCAGAGGCUCAGGUUGGCGUCGCUAGGUGAGUUCCCUGCUGAUUUGACGAGCACGUGAUAUAGACUGUGGUCGGGUUCCUUCCUAACUCUGCUGGGCCUAAUGAAGAGAAAGAAUCAACUUUUGAGCUUAAUUGGCUAGAUCCAACCAGGCAGCUGCACAACAUUGUCAAGGAGAAGAUGAGAACAAUGCGAUGCUCAAAGAAGCAGGCUCCAGUUUUGGUAAAUGAGUAGUGAUGUUGUUGCAACCACCGAAACAAAUCUGAAAAAUAAGACAAAGACAAACAGGUUGAGAGGUUGGAUAAUGAUAUGGAAGAUCAAGUUAAAAAACAAAUUAUUGAUGCCCCUGCAAGCAAAGUAAAGAAAAGCCUACUUGAACUUACAUGGUUUUGCAAUAGGAGAGGCUUAGACUUUCAGGGUUUGCAAUAGGAGAGGCUUAGACUUUCAGGAGAGGCUUAUACCCGUUGCCUCUCCUAUUGCAAAAUACUCAAAAAUACUCAAAAAUACUCAAAAGCCUCUCCUAUUGCAAAAUACUCAAAAGUACUCGUUAAUGAUAUGUACCUGUUUUCAAAAAUCACAUUUGGUGCUUUUAAGUAUUUUUAAUACAGUUUUGCUCAAUAAAAAUUCACCACAUACAUUUUUUUGUUUAUACCCGUUGCAACGCACGGGCAUUUU